GCGGCCGUGGCCUGCCCGGAGAAGCGCAGACGUCCAUUUUGCAACAUUCCAGAGCCCGUCAGCAGCAAAGCGCCGCGUACGGUGCGCAGGUUCAAAUCGGCCUGCGGGCCGCGCCA
rnacentral:tRNA from 2 species